AUGAUAAGGCAUGAUCUGGAUAUGACCGAGGUGGUCAACCGCAAGAGACCAAAGUCUGUUCUGGAUGUGAGGUUUCUGAAUCACCAGGAGGACAUUAUUCUUCAACACAAACUGACCCUGUUGGACAUGAGGCACAGGUACACCCUCAGAGUUCUGUGUCAGGAUAGAAUCUCACUGAUGAAGGAACACAGGAAACUACUACUUCUCAAAGUCUGUGAACCUUGUGCCACUAUCAACAAAACCAUGAAAGAGAUAUCCGAAACUAAAAAGGCAAGGAUGGAUCGUGCCAUCUCUGCCUCUGACAACAGACGAUUGAACUCCAGUAAAUCCCUUUCCAUCGACAGAGUGAAACUAGUCUCAUGUUGGCAGACAUCAAACAGUAAUGUCAUUGUAGAGAAACCUAGAAUGGUUGGGGUUGAGGCUAGAGGAACAUCAAUGCUGAGCUUGAGGAGAUCUCAGUCAGCACAGCCCAAAACUGUACACACUGCCAAUCACAGAGAGACAGAGACAGGACACUCUGCCAAGUACAGAGAGACACAAGCAAGGGCAGGGCACUCUUCCAAGCACAGAGAGACAGAGACAGGACACUCUGCCAAGCACAGAGCGACACAAGCAAGGGCAGGACACUCUGCCAAGCACAGAGCGACACAAGCAAGGGCAGGACACUCUGCCAAGCACAGAGAGACACAAGCAAGGGAAGGGCACUCUGCCAAACACAGAGAAACAGAGGCAGGACACUCUGCCAAACACAGAGAAACAGAGGUAGGACACUCUGCCAAACACAGAGAAACAGAGGCAGGACACUCUGCCAAACACAGAGAAACAGAGGUAGGACACUCUGCCAAACACAGAGAAACAGAGGUAGGACACUCUGCCGAACACAGAGAAACAGAGGUAGGACACUCUCCCAAACACAGCGACACAGAGGCAGGACACUCUGCCAAACACAGAGAAACAGAGGCAGGACACUCUGCCAAACACAGAGAAACAGAGGCAGGACACUCUGCCAAACACAGAGAAACAAAGGCAGGACACUCGGCCAAACACAGAGAAACAGAGGCAGGACACUCUGCCAAACACAGAGAAACAGAGGCAGGUGCAGGUGUGUUUUCUAUCAUGCAGCUGAGGCAAAUCUCCACUAUCGACUGUAUCUCAGAAAAGGAGCUGGCCAGCCAACAGCAACAUGCUAGAGGAGAGAAGGAGAGACUCAAACAAUGUCAGCAGGAUAUGCUAAGCCAGAAAAUAAUCAACUUUCUGAAAAAACUUGACAACACUUGUAAUGAGCAGAUAGAAACAUGA
rnacentral:lncRNA from 1 species